ensembl:lncRNA
CUCUAUGAAAAUUAAUAUAAGCUAUCCAAUAGCAUGACUAUAGUCUUCUGGUCUUUCACGCAGCACAGCACUAAGUCUAUUAAGCUGUCUCCGUUGCUUAAAAUAACUAGUGAGAGAACUGGAAUCUCAGAUAGCCACUGGUUACAACAGACGAGACCUUAGGUUGACUCUAGCUUUGAGCAUGUGAGGAGAAUAUGAUCAGAUAUUUAGUAGGCAGCUGUUUCUGUCCCUGUGCCUUCAAGCUCUACCCAGUUGGCUGAGAUGUGAACAGAAACCCCAUGGGAUGCAAUUUUUGAAAUGGAUCCAAACCAUCCUGGCUCACACUGUGUUUCAUCACAGUGAAGUGAACACUACUGCAUGUCUGCCCACUGAGGGACGGGUGUGAGACUGCAUAUCCAGAGCUGGGAUUCACUGCCUCAGAGAAAAGCACUGUGAACAUGCUGGAGAACAGCUGCCCUCUCUGUGGUAUCCCCAUCUGCUGAAAACACAGAAUGAAGAAAUAUGGGACCAAACUUGAAAUCUGCUUCUACCUGAAACCUGUGAUCUCCUCCAUACAAGACAUGGUGUUGCUGUCCUUAUAAUGAGACAGGACAAACUCUGCUCUUCUGUUGAGUAUGUAAAAAACAACUCCAAAGGUGACUGGCUCUUCCAGCAGAAGAGAGUGAAAUCCUGCAGGCCCUGAAAAAUAUUCUUUCUGUUUCUUGGUAGAGCAUGCUGGAAGACUGAAUCAGAAACAGAUGCUAUUCCUCAAAAUUUUUCCCCUCAGAGCAUGUUAAGUUGUUCAUUAUUUUAGCAAAAGAUCAUUGUAGUUAUAAACCAAGAUUUUUCAUUAACUGCCACCUCUAAGUAUGAUAAAUCUUGACUUAUUCAGUGCAUAUUUAUUGUCUGUGAUAAUUAAGGAUGUUUGUGGGGUUUUCUGUUUGUUUGUUUGUUUUUUAAUUAUUUUUAAAAUUCCCUGAGAAUUCACCAGGCAUGAGAUACUCAGAUUUGUCUAUGACAGUUCUGACCAAAGAAGUCUCUGAGGAAAAUAGAUUAUAAAAAAUACAGGCGGGCUUAGGUUGAGACCAGACAAAAGAGAGAGCAAAUGUCACUGCAAAGUUGGCUCAAUUUCCAUGAUAGAAUUUGGAAACUGUCAAGAGGAUGUAAUUGUUAUUGGAAAGAAAAAAUAAAUAUUGAAGAUAAUGAGGAGAAAUCUAGGCUGAAGUGGCAGAGGAAAGCAAUGCUGGAAAUCAGCUGGGACAAUUUAAUAAUGAAAGGAAGUGUUAUAGUAGCAAAACAGGGAACUCAUUAAUUAGUGAGAAGAAAGGAAGGUUGAUCAAGUCAGAAACAUGGAGAAGAGGGGAACAAAAAAGAUAUCAAUGAAUACUUUCAAAUAUAUUACAUAGAAAUUGCAACAUAUGGAGAUUAUUCCUUUUCAGUAAUUCUGUUAAAGAAAAAUCUAUGUUUUCCCUAUGAAGACAUAUAAUAUUCUGGCAAACAAUUCACCCCUUACUUCAGAAAUAAACACAUUCUUUAAACUAUUUCCAUAAAAAUAAUGAUGAGAUAUUCAAAGUUUUGACAGCUAGUAAAUGAUUCCAUUAUCCAAACUUUGUAAUUUUGUGCAUUAAUUAAAUAAAAAUUCAAACCACAAUGAAAGAGUAAAAAUAGCUGCAACUUGAUACCAUAUUUGGCUGUGGAGAUCUAUGUAGCCUUUGAGGUGGAUGUCUCUUCUUUUAGAAGACAUCUAGGACAAUUAAAGCCAUAAAACAUCCAGAGUAUUAGUGCUACCCUCUUGAUUUUAUAACUUUAUAUUCAUUUUUCUAAGUAGCAAAAUCACUCUCUAAAUUCUUCCCAAUCCAAAAUUCCUCAAAACAGUCAAUAUUUACAUGUGAGGUUUCACUUCGCAGCACAAAGUGAUGUGACUUUCCUAUGAGAAUAAAAAAUUAAGAGAGAUGUGUAUUUAAAAACUGUAUAAAUUACAUUAUUUAAAAUUUUUAUUAACUCAAUUAAUUAAUUAAUUAGUGGAGUUCAUAUUACCAAAUUUCUAAUAAGGGGUAAGAAGCUGGAAGAAAUGCUGCACCCAUAUAUACUCUACACGACUUGCACUUAAAGAGUAGUUGUUUAAAAUAUAUUGCUGUACUGCUGCUUUUUCAAUAGAAAAUUGUUUUACCCAGUUAUUUAAAAAUGGGACUUUAAGCAACCUGGUCAAGAGGGAGGUGUCCCUGCCUAUAGCAGGGGAGCUGGAACUAAAUGAUCUUAAAGGUCCUUUCCAACCCAAACCAUUCUAUGAUUUUGUGACUCAUAAUUGCAUCAUAUUUUAUAUGGAAAUGAAAUGUAGAAAUCCAGCAGGGUAUUAUUUCAUGAAAUUUGGGCACUACUAUUCAUCUUCAUAGAAACUAUAAUUUACAAGUCAGUGCUGAGCUAAUAACUCAUUUCCAAGUGUAGCAAUCUUCUAACAAAAAAUAAAGCUUUAAACUAUGUAGUGUUUGCUAGCUACUUAUAGAAUAAUCAUCAUCACUGUAUUAGUUGACUUAAAAGCUUUGUCCUUCAGUAUAUUUUGAACUUAGAACACUGUAGCAGGGUGAAAACUGAGUUUCCUGCUAUAUUAUAAUUCAGAGGAUAAUAUAAAUGAAACCACAGGAAAAGUUAUCUAGAGGUAUCAACCUUUGGAAUUACCAAUGAGAUUGUUAAAAUUUAUAUAUACAUAUAUAUACAUACACACAUAUAUAUACACGUAUACAUGAAUUUUAUCAUUCAGAGUGAAUAUAUGAAAAUUUCUUGGUAAUAAAAAGAGCAUCAAUUAACACUGCCAUUUAUCAAGUCUGCAUUUGCAAUUAAGCCAAAACAAAGAUUAAAACAAUAGCAGCAUUAAUAUUGCAUGGUUUACCAUCUUAACUGUGACUUAGGUAGAAAAGCAAUGAAGCAUUCUUACAAAGGAUGUGCAGAGUCUUGCAACUUAUUGAAAUUCUGAAUAAAUAAAUACAAUAAAACUUCCUAAUACAAAGAAUUUGCAGUUAUUUAGAUUUGUAAAAUAUGAUCUCUACUGGAACAAAUGAGAUUUUUAAGUCAAGAUUUAUUAAAAAUCAUACUAUAAAGCAAUAUAUUGCUCAAAUCUUGUACCUUAACAAAGAAUUGUCAUAAUACUUUUGUAUCUAGCCACAACAGAAAAACCAUGGGUAGCUCCCAGAUUAGCAGAUAGAAGUGGCAUAUAAAAUGCAGCUUUCGCAUUGAAUUUGGAGCUUUAGUUUGUUAUUUUUAGUAUUUCUAUAUCACUCCACACAACAGAAAUUUGUGCCUGUGAUUGAGCUAGUACCACUGCAUGACCCAGCAGAACACCACACUGAAGCAAUAAGCCUGGAUUUCAGAAACAAAAAAUAGUAAGUCAAAAUUUUUUAUAGCGCUGAAGUUAGUGCAUUGCUUCUAAAUCCAAGUCUAGCUGCCUGUGCCUCACUAAAUUAUAUCAGCACAAUAGUGACCCAAGAGAUUAUUCCAGCCUGAAGUAUUAAG